AUUGAACGCUGGCGGCAGGCCUAACACAUGCAAGUCUAACGAGUGGCGGACGGGUUAGUAAUGUCUGGGAAACUGCCUGCUGGAGGGGGAUAACUACUGGAAACGGUAGCUAAUACCGCAUACCAUCAGAUGUGCCCAGAUGGGAUUAGCUAGUUGGUGGGGUAACGGCUCACCAAGGCGAUGAUCCCUAGCUGGUCUGAGAGGAUGACCGGCCAGACUGGAACUGAGACACGGUCCAGAAUACUACGGGAGGCAGCAGUGGGGAAUAUGGCACAAUGGGAGCAAGCCUGAUGGAGUCAUGCCGCGUGUAUGAGGAAGGCCUUAGGGUUGUAAAGGACUUUCAGCGGGGAGGCGUUACCCGCAGAAGAAGCACCGGCUAACUCCGUGCCAGCAGCCGCGGUAAUUC
rnacentral:rRNA from 1 species